rnacentral:rRNA from 1 species
AGGUGACGUCAAGUCCUCAUGGCCCUUACAUCCCGGGCUACACACGUGCUACAAUGGCAGGUACAGAGGGCUGCGAAGCCGCGAGGUGGAGCGAAUCCCAGAAAACCUGUCUCAGUCCGGAUUGAAGUCUGCAACUCGACUUCAUGAAGGCGGAAUCGCUAGUAACCGCGAAUCAGCAGGUCGCGGUGAAUACGUUCCCGGGCCUU